UGGCACAGUGAAUCCACAGCAUAGAGAAGAGCAGCAGGAGACACACACAAAACAGAACAUACACCAUUUUCAUAAUGAGAAAUGACUAGAUGGAGAAAAACUACCUACAAUCUCUGGAGGAGAGGAGACACGGAGGUACUCCAGCCUUUUAGAGGGGAAGUCUGAGAAGCUCUGAAACUUGAGGUGCCUACAAAGACAACUCAGCUGUUGUUGCCAAGGAACUAACAUGUCUGAGUUCUGGUAUCAGUAUCACUGGCUCCUGCUCAAAUAGCACAAACGAAAGAUGUAAAGUCAUUAGAGAAAAAGAACAGUUUGGUUUGAUCACUUGCACUGAGGUAAGCAUUCUGCCAUAUUCUGAGCAACUUUAAGGGAAUACCUACGUUGUGUGGUGAGGAACCGAGGGCCUCAGACCAACAAUGCAGAGAAACUGAAGCCUGCUAACAACCAGGUGCUGCUGAUCUAGAAGUCUUAAUUCCAAAAAGAAAAAUGCUUCCUCCAGGCACAUAACAAUGGGUCCACUGAAUUAAAGGCUGAGACUGUCACCUGACCAUUUUGGGCUCCUAAUGCUAUUGAGUCAACAGUUAGAUUGGACCACAAGAAUGAGUCUCAUGGAUGAUUUGGAUGGUGUAAAUGAAGCAACAGCCAUUGGGUAGCUCACAUACUUGGUUUGCUGCCUCUUCUUGCUGAUGUGAACUGUGGCUAGGACUAGAACUACUCUACCUUCUCCUCAAUCUUCCUGAGCCUCUGUGACUUCUACACCAGGAAACGAGAGUGGAGAGAGAGAGAGAGAGAACUGACACAGGUUUUAGGCUGUCCUCAUUGACUCACUGCCUCCAGUUUGUGCCUGGGAGUUCUAGUUUGUUCUUGCUCUUCCUGUUUUACAUCCUGACCACUUGCCUCAAGAACUUCAAGGUCCAGCAUUAGAUGCAAUCACAAUAGCUUUAUGGAGACUGUUCAGUAAACAACCACAACUGCAUAAGAUUCUCCAAAUAUAGUGUUAGUCAACAUUCCUGUAUGGACUUUAGAAGGUGCCAACUUUGAAUCAGACGGUCUGUAUUCAAAUCCUGGCUCCAUCAGUUCCCAGCAUAUGACACUUAGCAAUCUUCCGGGUUCUGUACGGUGGUGGAAGCAGCAGCCCAUUGAGCCAGAGACCAACACUUCUGGGCAUAUGGAACCCAAGAGCGGAAAGCUUGCUGCGUUUCUCGGAAACUUCAGCUAAGGAAGGGCAGCCUCUGGAAAGUGAAGAAAUGGCACACUCACGGGAUGAGGCGGGAAAUGCCAUAGAGCCGGGGAGUCCAGCACCUGCCUAGGCCACACUGUGUACCGGAAGCAGUUUGCGUCCCCGAAUAAACUUAGAUACAAGUCCAGUAAAAACCAGAGUCCUCAUCAUCACCCAACAAGGGAGGUACUAUUGUCUUUGUUUAAUGGAUGAAGACACUAAACCUGCAAGGGUAAGAGUCUUGCCACAAGUGGGUCACAAAUCUAAGAAGUGGAUCACAUAUCUAAGAAGUGGAUCACAUAUAGAUUGUAAAGGCAGAGACACAGAGGGAGAGCACUAUGUGAUGUUGAAAGCAGAGAUUGGAGUUAUGCAGUUUUGAGACAAAGUGAAAGGGGAGUAAAAAGCAACCAGAGAAAAGAAGCAGAUGGGGAAACCGCUUGUGAGAAUGCCUUGUUCUGCAAAACCUUAUCACAGGGGCAGCAAGGGGAGCUGCCUUCUAUGUGACCUUACCUGAGUAGUUCCCAAAUCCUUGUUCUUGGACAUGGGAGGGCUGGAUGCCCAAAAAUCUCCUGAGGAACAUGAAUUACAAAACCCAAGAAAAACAGAACCCCUGGCUUCACUCUGAUUUGGAGGGAUAAAGUGGGGUGUAGCAGGGUUAGCAAGUCUUAGUCCAAUGGACCAGUGUCUUAGUCUAUUUUGGGCUGCUAUCAUAGAAUACUCGACCCUGGCUAAUUUAUGCAGAACAGAGAUUCGUUUCUUACAGUUCUGCAGACUGGGAAGUUCAAGGGUGAGGAGCCUGCAUCUUCUAAGGAACUUCUCGCUACAUCUUUGGAUGGUAGAAGCAGAAGACAAG
ensembl:lncRNA